rnacentral:lncRNA from 1 species
GUGGCCAUUCUGGGCAGCUGCUCUUUCCAGGGAAGAUCACCUAAGGCUUCUGGUUUGUUUUUCGUCCGGAGAGAGGUUCCAGUAGGACGAGCAACAAGGAAAGCGGUAGCCUUGAAGAGCUCUGGGAUAUCACACACAAAGGAGUCCUGUCAGUGGGAUCCAUUCACCCACACUCCUGCGUAUACUGCCAUCACCGGUUUGAUUCAUUAUGCCAUACUAUCCAUACUUCAGCCUUGAGAAGGUUUUCCAGGAUGCCUUUGAAAUAUAUAUAUUGCCUGAUGAAGAACAGGAAGAUGAAGAGGAAGAAAUGGAAGAGGAGUUGGAAGACAUAGAGGAUGAGGAAGAAAUGGAGGAGGAGGAGGAAGAGGAAGAGGAGGAGGAAGAAGAGGAGGAAGAAGAGGAGGAAGAAGAGGAGGAAGAAGAGGAGGAAGAAGAGGAGGAUGACAACGAUGAUGAAGAGGAAGAGGAGGAAGAAACAGGAGAGGAGGAGGAAAUAGCAGAAGUUGAGGAGGAAGUGGAAGAGGUGGAAGUAGCAGGAGAUGUGGAGGAAGUGGAAGAGGAGGAAGAAGUUGUAGAGGAGGAGUACGAAGAAGAGGUUGAGGAGGAGGAAUGGGAAACCAUUGAUGGUGAUACUGUGUCUUUCACAUUAUCUGCCACAUUAAAAAUCUCUUUACCCUCCUGUCCAUCUCCACCUUCCACCUUUUCAUCCCAUCCUCUGAUCUGGGGCAAUCCCAGUGGGGUGGAUGGGUCUGUUGCCUGGAUGAUGAAUAUUUCCCAAAGUCAUCAGAGCUUGUACACCCUCAUGUCAUGCAGCAACUUGGAUGAAGAAUACAGCAGCCAGGAAGAAGAGAGUUUCACUUUCGCAUGGAGAAAACUCCAAAACCAAAAGGUUACUGAACUGGUGAAUCUUAUGAUCCUCAAAUAUAGAAUAAAGGAACCCAUCAACAAAGUAGAAAUGCUCAGAGUUGUCACAGAAGUCUUUGAGAAUGAAUUCCCCAUUAUCUUUGAGGAAGCUUCUAAGUGCUUGGAGAUGAUUUUUGGCAUUGAUAUAAAGGAAGGUGAUGCAGUAAGCAGCUCCUAUGUCCUGACCAACUCACUGGGCCUUACAUAUGAUGAUGUGAAAACUGACAGCCAGAGACUGCCCAGAAAUGGCUUCCUGAUAGUUAUUCUGGGUGUGAUAUUCAUAGAGGGAAACUGCGCCUCUGAAGAAAGCAUGUGGGAAUUUCUGAAUAUGAUGGGAAUAUAUGAUGGGAAGGAGCACUUCAUUUAUGGGGAGCCCAGGGAGUUCCUCACUGGAGAUUUAGUGUACCAAAAUUACCUGAUAUAUCAGCAGGUACCUGAGAGUUAUCCUCCACGCUAUCAGUUCUUAUGGGGUCCAAGAGCCUACUCUGAGACCACCAAGAUGAAAGUCCUUGAGUUUUUGGCCAAGCUUACAAGUAGGGCCCCAACUUAUUUCUCAUCCUUAUAUAGUGAAGCAUUCAGAGAUGAGGAAGGGAGAGCCGGAGUUGGCCCCUUGGCUUAGUACCAUGCUGAUAAUCAACAAGAGGCAGCCUAAUAUCUGGUUUGAAAGAGGACAGGCACAAUUUUCAGUAAAGGAGGAUCAAGUUUAGUCUGGGUAUGAUUAAAACAGUGUGGGGCAACUUUGUGUUCUGUUUUUUUUUCCUUUCGCGUACUUUCUCCAAUUGUAAUUGUAAUUAAAAUGUGUUACAUUAUCUUUGCAAUGUAAGUUUAUGAGUGAUCAUAAUUUCUUUCCUGUCUUACCAGCUUUUGAGAAAAUAGAGGGAACUAUUCAAUGGUUAAUCUUUGAGUUCCUUCAAUCUGUUUAGUCAACUCUAAAAUAUGUACCUAGAUUGAUUUGAUUAAUAAAACAGGAAAAUGGUAAUAAAUCCU